GACGAACGCUGGCGGCGUGCCUAAUACAUGCAAGUCGAACGCACUCUCGUUUAGAUUGAAGGAGCUUGCUCCUGAUUGAUAAACAUUUGAGUGAGUGGCGGACGGGUGAGUAACACGUGGGUAACCUGCCCUAAAGUGGGGGAUAACAUUUGGAAACAGGUGCUAAUACCGCAUAAAACCUAACACCGCAUGGUGUAGGGUUGAAAGAUGGUUUCGGCUAUCACUUUAGGAUGGACCCGCGGUGCAUUGUUAGUUGGUGAGGUAAAGGCUCACCAAGACCGUGAUGCAUAGCCGACCUGAGAGGGUAAUCGGCCACACUGGGACUGAGACACGGCCCAGACUCCUACGGGAGGCAGCAGUAGGGAAUCUUCCACAAUGGACGAAAGUCUGAUGGAGCAACGCCGCGUGAGUGAAGAAGGUUUUCGGAUCGUAAAACUCUAGUUGUUGGAGAAGAAUGUAAUCUGAUAGUAACUGAUCAGGUAGUGACGGUAUCCAACCAGAAAGCCAC
rnacentral:rRNA from 1 species